CUCAGAUUGGGCAGCCUCAGCCCCAGCUCACCUCCAUCCCGGUGGUGGUGUUCCUGGCGGGUUUGUGCCUGCGGCUCGGAGCGGAGGACCUGAAUGACAUCUGAGUUACACUGCAGAAUUUGCUCUAAAAUUGCAUCGCUUUGUGAAUGAUGAAGUUGGGCGAAACCAGUUAUUUUAGAGAUGCAGAUUCCACAAGAUACCCAGAACUACUCACCUUCAGCCAUAGGUGGAUGAUGUGCUAACUGACCUGCUGCUGGACUAAAACACUGGCCUCCAUGGUGUCUUUGUGCUUGAAUCACCUCGUCCAUUCAAG
ensembl:lncRNA